rnacentral:rRNA from 1 species
AUUGAACGCUGGCGGCAGGCUUAACACAUGCAAGUCGAGCGGAGAUGAGGUGCUUGCACCUUAUCUUAGCGGCGGACGGGUGAGUAAUGCUUAGGAAUCUGCCUAUUAGUGGGGGACCACAUUCCGAAAGGAAUGCUAAUACCGCAUACGUCCUACGGGAGAAAGCAGGGGAUCUUCGGACCUUGCGCUAAUAGAUGAGCCUAGGUCGGAUUAGCUAGUGGGUGGGGUAAAGGCCUACCAGGGCGACGAUCUGUAGCGGGUCUGAGAGGAUGAUCCGCCACAAUGGGACUGAGACACGGCCCAGACUCCUACGGGAGGCAGCAGUGGGGAAUAUUGGACAAUGGGGGAAACCCUGAUCCAGCCAUGCCGCGUGUGUGAAGAAGGCCUUAUGGUUGUAAAGCACUUUAAGCGAGGAGGAGGCUACUGAGACUAAUACUCUUGGAUAGUGGACGUUACUCGCAGAAUAAGCACCGGCUAACUCUGUGCCAGCCGCCGCCGUAAUAC